CGUAUCCAUGUUUCCUCUCUCCAUGUCUUCGAACAGGAUGUGACUAAGUUCUCUAGCGACAGGCCUACAUGUGAGAAAAUCCCACCCGGGUCUGAAAGACCAAAGCCACCCACUGAACAGCAUUACUUCAGUGGCAGCAAAUGGAAGAAUCCACACCUGAAGUUCUGGCGGCACACAUUCCGUAUUCCAUAAAGGCCGUGUCCGUCACGGACCGCACAGGAGAAUCUGAAAUUUGUGAUGUUUAAAUGGAGCUCUCAUUCAUCCCAGACCGCCUUGUCCCAAGCCAGAAAAAAGACGUCCUGGAACAAGGCAGAUGAAAGGUGGGCGAGUGCCAGGAAAAGAAAAAGCUGGAUGACAGUGAGGCGUAGGCCUCACAUGACAGGGUAGCCUAAUACACAGAAAUGAAAGGGGGAGGGGGGGAUUUCAAAGAGAGAAAAAGAACAAAAACAAAAUAAAUAAAGGAGCGAGGGCCUGGGAAUCAGGAUGUUUUCGCCAAGAUGCCGUCCUCCGUUUUCCUUUCCUCUCCUCUCACAGGUGCUGAUGAGACUAUAAAGGCCAUGUGGUGAGUGAAACAGACAGAGCAGCGGAGAGAGAUAGAGAGAGAUGAAGACUUCCACACACUGACAGGACUCAUACAAAGCAUCUGUGAGAACGAAAGCUGUUAAGUCUGCUGCCUGCAGCUCUCUUCGCCUCUCUGUCUCCGUACAACUGCAGACCUAUUCACCUGCCAUCUUUCUACAUUUUCUGAAUUGGAUUUAUUUUUAGCCGAUUAUAUAACAUAUUGGGUUUAUGUUUAACAAACUUUAUAUAUAACAUAAUUUUACAUUAUUUAAAGUGGUGAGGUUUCUUGAAAACCAUCAGUUUUCGGUCAUCAUGAGUUGCUGGAGGAGUGCGUUCUUCAUCCUGGUCCUGGUCAUCUGUGUAAGCAUCACAAAGGCAGCUGUAUAUCGUCACAAAGGACCAUGUGUUCAUAAGGGCAUUCUCUUCACCCCUGGACAGACAUUUCACAAGGGCUGUGACAAGUGUUACUGCCAUGAGAAUGGAUUUGUGUGUCUUUCGUAAGUAUGCCUAAUUAAUAAGUAACUGAAAUGAAAACUGUUCCCCUUAUUUGCCAAAACUACAAAAUAAAACUACUACUGCAUCCACUAUAGGCCUACAGCCAUGGUGGAAGGUCACUACAUUUACUUCUGCUCCACUACAUUUCAGAGAGAUAAAGAGGAAUAUUGUUCUUUCUACUCCACUACAUUUAUUUGACAGCUUUAGUUACUAGCUACUUUUCUGAUGAAGGUUUUACACAAUGGACAUAACGACACAUUGUUAAAGAUUAAACCAGUGGUUUCCAACCUUUUUGGCUUCCGACAUCAUACAAAAUGCAGUGUGUAGUUGAGGUCAAAUUCCAGAUGUCUAUGCAUUGUCAACAGCUCCACAAACUAAGGAUUUUCCCUCUAAACUUCUCACAUGGUUACAUUUCAAUAAUCGUUCAAAUGAUCCAAUAUCUCAAGAUUCGAGAAAAAGUAAAAAAAACUGAAAAUUGAUUUGUGCAUCAGAACUUUUUCUUAUUUUCUCCCAUGAAUCAUUUCACAACCCCUCAGAUGUAUCUGGUAUCCCUGUAUAUAAAACGGUAUAUUAUUAUAUUAUAAUAUAUUAUAUUAUUAUAUGUAAUUCAAACUUGCUCUACCUCAAGCAGCUACAACAGUAACAUGCUGCUUACACCAUAAUGCUUCAGUAUUAAUAAUCUAAUGAUAUCAUACAUAAUCAGUCAGAGGGACCAAACCAGUACUUUAACUAUAUUUUGAUGGUAAUAAUUCAAGUAUUUCUACUCAUGUAAGAAUUUUAAUGCAGGACUUUUACAUGUAAUGGAGUAUUUGUACAUUGUUGUAUUGGUACUUUUACUUAGGAAAAGGAUCUGAAUACUUCUUCCCUGCCUGCAGCUAUUAUCAAGGGCCUGUGAGACUGAAAAACCCUACUCUUUACAUGCUCACCUGUAUUCUCACGAGAUCUUAAUGGCAUUCCCUCCAGACCUAUGAAGCCAACCUCCUGGCCCAAGAAGUGUGAGCGGAUCGUUACAGAUUGUGGGUACCGUGUUGUUUACCAUGACAACCCCGAGCUGGACUGCCGACCCUACAGCUGGAUCUGGUGAAGCCUCUCAGGCCCACGGCUUCAUUACUCGCUUCUGUUAGAAAUAAUGAGGCUGGGACAACCUAAAUGUAAACGUAGAUAUUUAUAUUAAUAACUAAGUAUUUAUAUUUGCUAUUAUUGUCCAGCUUCUUAGACUGCAUCGUUUACAGAUGCCCACAACCGUUGUCUCGCACUACAUCUACGAAUGUAUUCACCAGUCAACACAGAACUCACCACUAGAGACCCUGCCAUGUGCAGACGUGUUGCCACCAGUGGAGGUGACCUCUCAAAAACAACAAAUGGUUAUUAUUCGGCUAGUCCAUAAAUACAGUCCGAACACGGCACAAAAGAGAAAGCCGAUAGCAAACCACGAAGGCAGUGUUUGGCGAUAGUUAUGUUGAUUACUGGAUUUCAAUAAAGUAAUUUCCUGAUGGGACAAUUCACUGUCAAGUUGAUCAGAGUGUCAUUGUAUGUCAGCCACUUGUAUCUCACCAUCUCGCCCCUUUGCCUUCACCAUAUCUGACAAGGCGUCCACCUUUCAAUUCUGUCAGUCUCCAGAGACUGAUUGUCAACACCUUCCUUACCAUUUGUCAGUUGUCGAUAUUUUCUCCAUUGUCCUUUCUAAGUCAGCAGCUAUUAAAUGAGAUAUCCAAACUGCUGUUUUAAAACUAAAAUGUUGUCAUCAUGAGUAUUUUAUUAUCAAAAUGCAUUGAUACAUCUCACCUGUUCAGUACUGUUGUCUGGUUGGUAUGGGGGUAGAUACCAAAUAAUUAUUACUAUGUUUGAGU